rnacentral:snRNA from 1 species
GUGCUCGCUUCGGAAGCACAUAUACUAAAAUUGGAACGAUACAGAGAUUAUCAUGGCCCAUGUGCAAGGGUGACGCGCAAAUUCGUGAAGCAUUCAGUAUUUUU